GGGCGGGCGGGCCUUACACAUGCAAGUCGAACGGAAACAUGUCUAGCUUGCUAGAUGAUGUCGAGUGGCGGACGGGUGAGUAAUACUUAGGAACAUGCCUUUGGGUGGGGGAUAACUAUUGGAAACGAUAGCUAAUACCGCAUAACGUCUACGGACCAAAGGGGGGAGCUUGCUCCUCUCGCCCAAAGAGUGGCCUAAGCGAGAUUAGCUUGUUGGUGAGGUAAAGGCUCACCAAGGCGACGAUCUCUAGCUGUUCUGAGAGGAAGAUCAGCCACACUGGGACUGAGACACGGCCCAGACUCCUACGGGAGGCAGCAGUGGGGAAUAUUGCACAAUGGAGGAAACUCUGAUGCAGCCAUGCCGCGUGUGUGAAGAAGGCCUUCGGGUUGUAAAGCACUUUCAGUUGUGAGGAAAGCUUGGUGGUUAAUACCCAUCAGGUAUGACGUUAGCAACAGAAGAAGGACCGGCUAACUCCGUGCCAGCAGCCGCGGUAAC
rnacentral:rRNA from 1 species